GAGUGCUUAAAGGUGUUUAUCAGUGCCCAGAUCUGCUGAUGCAUUUACUUAAGCCUCUUAAAGGGUUGGUUCCUGCUGGGAGAGGGAGAUCCUUUCUGGAGCAGCUCCACAAAGCCUCACGCUCACUCUUGCUCCCAGUUCCAGGAGGCACCAUAGCUGGUUUCUCAGGUGCAGCAGUGAGACAAGAUCUGGAGAUGUUAAGCUGCUGUAGUGACAGUUUUAUGGCAACCAAGAAGAAAGGACUCAGAGUGGAUUUUUCUCUUUCACUUGAACUCUAUGAGGAACUGGAGUCUUGGUACCAGUAGAGGCCCUGUGUCCAUCCAUCUCCUCAGAGAGUCCAUGAAUUUGGUAAGUCUCUCCUGGUUCUCAGGUUUCCCAUAUUGGUUGAUGAUCUUGAGUUUUAUUUGGUGGUAGAGCAUGUAUCUGUCCCCUCCCUGCUGAAACAUACUCUAGUGGGAGGGUAGGGGGUGGGGAGUUGAAAGUUACCUAAAGAAUCUGCCUGCAAUGCAGGAGACCCAGGUUCAAUUCUGGGUCUCCUGGAGACACGCUGGAGAAGGAAAUGGCAACUCACUCCAGUAUUUCUUGCCUGAGAAAUCCCAUGGAUAGAGAAGCCUGACAGGCUGCAGUCCAUGGGGUUGCAAAGAGUCAGACGCAACUGAGCGACUAACACACACACUCACCCAGUGGAAAGAUACUGGGGUGGCAGGGGUGGGGGCUGGUUGAAAGAUACUGGGUGACAUUCACCCAGUGGCAAGGUACUGGGUGGGGCUUUGUUGAAAGAUAUUGAGGUUUCUCAGUUGUAGGAAACUGAAUGGUUUGUGCUGUGUAUUUAGGUAAGAGGCUGAUCUGAUGCUUUCAUAAGGGGCAUUAGAAAACCCAUGUCUAAAUAACACCCCAGCCAGGGUUAUAAAUAAAUAAAACUUAUGCUUGCAAGUACCUACUUAAUUGGGGAAAUUACACUAAUGUAGACCUCAGCUUAAAAUGACCAAAUUAUGUUUUUUUGAUAUUCUAAAAUUGAUACAUUUUGAGCACACGGUCAAACAAGCUGGUUGUAAGAUCCAACAGACUGAAUGGAAUGCUUGCCUUGAUUGGUAUCUAAAAGCUUCUCUUGAGACUAUAUUUCCCUCAUAGCUCAGUUGGUGAAGAAUCCACCUGCAAUGCAGGAGACCCCGGUUUGAUUCCUCGGACAGGAAGGUCUGCUGGAGAAGGAAUUGGCUACCCAGUCCAGUAUUCUUGAGUUUCUCUGGUGGUUUAGCUGGUAAAGAAUCUGCCUACAAUGCAGGAGACCUGGGUUUGAUACCUGGGUUGGGAAGAUCCCCUAGAGAAGGGAAAAGCUACCCACUCCAGGAUUCUAGCCUGGAGAAUUCCAAGGACUGUAUAGUCCAUGGGAGUGCAAAGAGUAAGACAUAGCUGAGUGACUUUCACUUUCACUUGAAACUUCUCGAGACUGGAUCAAACAAACGGGAAAAAGGGUGCUAGCACUUGUCUUUCCCUCUAAGUUAUCCUCUUCUAUUUGAAUUAUUUGGCCAGAU
rnacentral:lncRNA from 1 species